CCUACGGGAGGCUGCAGUGGGGAAUAUUGGACAAUGGGGGCAACCCUGAUCCAGCCAUGCCGCGUGUGUGAAGAAGGCCCUCGGGUUGUAAAGCACUUUCAGUGAGGAAGAACGCCUGGUGGUUAAUACCCAUCAGGAAAGACAUCACUCACAGAAGAAGCACCGGCUAACUCCGUGCCAGCAGCCGCGGUAAUACGGAGGGUGCGAGCGUUAAUCGGAAUUACUGGGCGUAAAGCGCGCGUAGGUGGCUUGAUAAGCCGGUUGUGAAAGCCCCGGGCUCAACCUGGGAACGGCAUCCGGAACUGGCAAGCUAGAGUGCAGGAGAGGAAGGUAGAAUUCCCGGUGUAGCGGUGAAAUGCGUAGAGAUCGGGAGGAAUACCAGUGGCGAAGGCGGCCUUCUGGACUGACACUGACACUGAGGUGCGAAAGCGUGGGUAGCAAACAGGAUUAGAUACCCGAGUAGUC
rnacentral:rRNA from 1 species